GCUCUUAGUGCAUUAAUAAGCUUGAUCUUUUUAUUCAAAUACAAGGAGCAACCACAGCCGGCUCCAGGUCACGUGUCCUGAUCACAUGGUGCUCAGACGCCGAAACCGGCUGGCGAUCAUUAACUAGUGCUUACUCCCGGGAGAGAAUGCAGGUUUUAAAGAGACGAACUCUUAUUUUUAUAAAACAGCCAGGACUGCAAUAGAAGUUUUGCUCUCCCCUAGGACUUGACAAAGUUGCCCCGCGGAGCCCCGGUUUCCAGGCCUGCAGGAGCGGCGGGCUGCAGCAUCCUGGACUCGGAGCGGAGGGAGGGGGGGGCGGGCGCGUUUGGCGCUGCGCCCUCGCGCCUGGGAAAUGGAGGACGGAUUUCUGAAGUUAGCGGAAAGCCACGUUUUCUUUCCCUUAUGAAAUUCCUGCUUCUGGGUCGAUGGAGUCCGGUAGGGGUGAGGGGAGGGAAAGGCAUGGUGGGCUUGGGGGCGCUUCCGGAGUUUUCAUUAAAGUGAACACCACCAUCCAGAAUGUGGCUCCUUUAAGGCUUCCUGCGGUGGGAACAGAAACUGCGAGGACUCUGCCUACCUGAAGGUUUCCUUGUUCAGUCGUUUGGGUUUAGAAAAAAGUUCUUUCCCUUUCUCGAACUUGCGUAGCGUUACUUUGUGCUUUCAAAAACUGCAAUUAUCAAGCUGACUUUGACUUUAGUGUAGAAGGGACAAUAGUGCGAGUGAAUAAAGAGUUUAGAAUCUUUGAUGGAGGGAAGGGGUGGAAAAACUACAGAUAAAAAGCUUUACCAGAAACUGACAGCAUUUUUUUUUUAAAACCUAGGUGUGUUUUGUUUCGCAUUAUACGAAGAAUACUUUCCAAAAACACUGUGCAAAAUGGCCUCAGCCUUACAGGAAAAACCACCCGUGAUGGUCUGCAGCCUUAUAUCCUAUUUCAUUGAACUGUUUUCGGAAACAAUAAAUAUGUAAAGAAUUUCCAGUGUUCUACGUUCACUGUAUCACUGAAAUAUAUGUAUUUCAGGAAAUUUCCCUAGUGAGGGAGUUUGCUUGUCUCUGUUCUUUCCCCUGCUCUGCCUCUUCAAAACGAUGACAGUCUGUGACCUAAAGGAUGGAUCCAGAUCUUUUGAAGAGAAUGUAAAAUUUAUAUAUACAAAAUUUGAUAUUAAAGUAUCACAAAAUUCAGAAAAAAUACUUAUUAUUUAACACACCUCUAAAAUCCUUUUUAUCCUGCAUUUUGGAGGGCGUGUUCUUGGAGGGGCUCAUAUUCUUGAAAGGAGAGAACUUUAAUCUUGACCAGCUGUCAAUUUUAAGUGUGCCUACCAUUGUACAAAUUUAAUGAUUAGAAAAAUUUUCCCCGGACCAGCUUCUGACUAGUCUGUUCUGGCUUUGUCUGUUCCACAUCUUGUCUCUCCUCCCCCAGCCCACAGUAUCUCUGGGGCUGACGCUGCAGGACACACUCGUGUUGUAAUGUGACCUCUGGAUCUGAGCCUACACAUCUCCGUGCUGGGUAAUUGUGUCAACCUCCUGCCUGGUCGAAUGAUUCUGGAAACAGUAUAGCAAGCAUCCACUUUAGAAUCUCCUUCUAGCUCUUUCUGGGAAGUACAGAUGCCCUCUCCCUGAGAACUUCUAUGGUCGUCAUCAAAGUUGUGCUCUCCAGAGAAAGCUCAGCUCACCACCAGUGACCCAUCAGGGUUCUUGGCCUCAGAUGAGGGACCGGAGGCAGCGAGGGUCAUUCUGUUUCCCGUGGUUGUGUGGCUGGUAGGAGUUGGAGCUAGAAGUCAAGCCCAGGUCUGUCUGAUUUCUGUCCUUCCUCCUGUCCCAAGCUCACAGCCUGUCAGUGCUCUCCGUCCUGUCCCCUCCUGGCUCAUCAAGAAGCUUGCUCCAUUUGUUACCCUUCCUCUCUUUGUCUCUUCCACUUUCCCUCUCUCCUUGCUUCUUUCCAUCAAGGUGAUCAAACCAAAACAAGGGUCUCAACUACUGUAUGAAGUUGAAGUUUUUCAAAUGUUUGUCUGCGGCCAGACUUUGAUUCUGCAGAUUCAUAUGUUCACUUGUGUAUUGGAUAUCUCAUGGCCUCUCAAACAUCAAAACAAAACUUACCACUUCCCUCCACACUGGCUCUUCCUCUGGCGUUCUCUGGCCAGCCAGUGGCUCUGCCAGCCGCACAGUAGCCCAAGCCAGAAACUGGCAGCGGAAAGACUCAGAUUUUGGUUUCAAAUCCAAACUUACUAGACAGAAGACAUUUGAACCUCAAUUUCCCAACCUGAAAAGUGGGGGUAAUAAUUCUAUUUCACAGGGUUGCUUUCAGAGCUAAAUGACCAUAUUAGCUGCUUAAUAAUAAUUAUUAUUGUUGUCAUCACUGUCAUUGUUAUCGUCAUCACCUAUUACCCCCUCCUUCUUUCUAGUAACCUUUACCUACUUGCAGUUCCACCAAAACAUCCUGCACCAUCAUUUUAAUUUCUUUGAUUCUGCUAUUAACUUCUG
rnacentral:lncRNA from 1 species